rnacentral:rRNA from 1 species
CACCGCGGUUAUACGAGAGACCCAAGUCGACAGACCCCGGCGUAAAGCGUGAUUAAUAUUAUAUAACCACUAAAGUCGAACGCCUCCAAGGCUGUUAUACGCUUCCGGAGGUAAGAAGCCCACCCACGAAAGUAACUUUAAAUUAUAUGAAUUCACGAAAGCUAUGAAA